GGGCGAAUGCCGGAGUGGUCAAACGGGGCAGACUGUAAAUCUGCUGGCAAUGCCUUCGGGGGUUCGAAUCCCUCUUCGCCCA
rnacentral:tRNA from 1 species